rnacentral:rRNA from 1 species
AUUGAACGCUGGCGGCAGGCCUAACACAUGCAAGUCGAACGGAGUGGCGGACGGGUGAGUAAUGUCUGGGCAACUGCCUGAUGGAGGGGGAUAACUACUGGAAACGGUAGCUAAUACCGCAUACUAUCAGAUGAGCCUAGGGCGGAUUAGCUAGUUGGUGGGGUAAAGGCCUACCAAGGCGACGAUCCGUAACUGGUCUGAGAGGAUGAUCAGUCACACUGGAACUGAGACACGGUCCAGACUCCUACGGGAGGCAGCAUUGGGGAAUAGUGGACAAUGGGCGAAAGCCUGAUCCAUCCAUGCCGAGGGUGUGAAGAAGGUCUUCGGAUUGUAAAGCACUUUAAGUUGGGAGGCGUUACCAACAGAAUAAGCACCGGCUAACUUCGUGCCAGCAGCCGCGGUAAUUC